rnacentral:lncRNA from 1 species
AAAAUACUUUAAACAUCUAGUAGAAAAAAAUACAUCAUAGAUCUAAAAAACAAACAGAGAAAAACCUCGAACCAAAACCCUAGAAAUGAGAAAGGCUUGGAAGAAAGUGACAUCCUGACUCGGAUGAGUGAGAAUCAGGCUCCUGAGGCUUGAAUACGCCGAAGCAAAGGCCGGAGAGGCCAUAGAACCAAAGAUUUAAAAGAUAACCGUCAAAUUCAGACUUCAAAAACUCGAACACCCAAUGUCUAAUGGUGUAGGGGGUGUGCAUAGACCAUCCAUGGCCUGAGAAGCCAUGGAUUCUGGUGAAAGUACGGUGGAAAAUGUAGGAGGUUGGCUAGGG